rnacentral:rRNA from 1 species
GGCGCNGGCGGCGUGCCUAAGAAUGCANGUCGAACGAGANAGCACCUUCGGGNGUUAUUNCNNUGGCGCACGGGUGAGUAACGCGUGGAUAAUCUACCUCUAAGUCUGGGGAUAACUCCUGGAAACGGGUGCUAAUACCGGAUAAGCCCACGGUCCUUCGGGUCUGCGGGAAAAGAUGGCCUCUCCUUGGAAGCUAUCUCUUAGAGAUGAGUCUGCGUCCCAUUAGCUUGUUGGUGGGGUAACGGCCUACCAAGGUGACGAUGGGUAGCUGGUCUGACAGGAUGAUCANCCACACUGGAACUGAGACACGGUCCANACUCCUACGGGAGGCANCAGUCGGGAAUUUUGGGCAAUGGGCGAAAGCCUGACCCANCAACNCCCGUGAGUGAUGAANGCCUUANGGUCUAAACCCUGUCANAGGGGAAAACCAAUCCCGGUUAUACCCCGGUUUUUACNGUCCCUCANAAGAACUC